rnacentral:rRNA from 1 species
AGAGUUUGAUUCUGGCUCAGGACGAACGCUGGCGGCGUGCUUAACACAUGCAAGUCGAACGAAGGGUAGAAAUACCCUUAGUGGCGGACGGGUGAGUAACGCGUGAGCAAUCUGCCCUUGUCAGGGGAAUAACACAUAGAAAUGUGUGCUAAUACCGCAUGACGUUACGAAGUGGCAUCACUUUGUAACCAAAGAAUUAUCGGACAAGGAUGAGCUCGCGUCCCAUUAGGUAGUUGGUGAGGUAACGGCCCACCAAGCAGACGAUGGGUAGCCGACCUGAGAGGGUGAUCGGCCACAUUGGAACUGAGAGACGGUCCAGACUCCUACGGGAGGCAGCAGUGGGGAAUAUUGGGCAAUGGAGGGAACUCUGACCCAGCAACGCCGCGUGAAUGAUGAAGGUCUUCGGAUUGUAAAGUUCUGUGACGGGGGACGAAGAAAGUGACGGUACCCCGAAAGCAAGCUACGGCUAACUACGUGCCAGCAGCCGCGGUAAUACGUAGGUAGCAAGCGUUGUCCGGAAUGACUGGGCGUAAAGGGUGCGUAGGUGGCUAGGCAAGUUGGUAGUGAAAUUCCGGGGCUUAACUCCGGCGCUACUACCAAGACUGUUUAGCUUGAGUACAGGAGAGGUAAGUGGAAUUCCUAGUGUAGCGGUGGAAUGCGUAGAUAUUAGGAGGAACACCGGUGGCGAAAGCGACUUACUGGCCUGCAACUGACACUGAGGCUCGAAAGCGUGGGGAGCAAACAGGAUUAGAUACCCUGGUAGUCCACGCCGUAAACGAUGAUUACUAGGUAUGGGAGGUAUCGACUCCUUCCGUGCCGCAGCCAACGCAAUAAGUAAUCCGCCUGGGGAGUACGG